rnacentral:rRNA from 1 species
UACGGGGGGGGCAAGCGUUGUUCGGAAUUACUGGGCGUAAAGGGCUCGUAGGUGGCCAACUAAGUCGGACGUGAAAUCCCUCGGCUUAACCGGGGAACUGCGUCUGAUACUGGAUGGCUUGAGUUCGGGAGAGGGAUGCGGAAUUCCAGGUGUAGCGGUGAAAUGCGUAGAUAUCUGGAGGAACACCGGUGGCGAAGGCGGCAUCCUGGACCGAUACUGACACUGAGGAGCGAAAGCCAGGGGAGCAAACGGG